AGGCAGCAGUGAGGAAUUUUGCGCAAUGGGGGAAACCCUGACGCAGCAACGCCGCGUGAGUGAUGAAGGCUUUCGGGUCGUAAAGCUCUGUCAAGUGGGAAGAACCUGCAUUGGGUUAACAGCGCAAUGCACUGACGGUACCACUGAAGGAAGCACCGGCUAACUCCGUGCCAGCAGCCGCGGUAAUACGGAGGGUGCGAGCGUUAUUCGGAAUUAUUGGGCGUAAAGGGCGCGUAGGCGGCCGUUUAAGUCAGGUGUGAAAGCCCGGGGCUUAACCCCGGAAGUGCAUUUGAUACUGAGCGGCUUGAGUAUGGGAGAGGGAAGUGGAAUUCCUGGUGUAGAGGUGAAAUUCGUAGAUAUCAGGAGGAACACCGGUGGCGAAGGCGACUUCCUGGACCAAUACUGACGCUGAGGCGCGAAGGCGUGGGGAUCAAACAGGAUUAGAUACCCUGGUAGUCCACGCAGUAAACGGUGAUCACUAGGUGUAGCGGG
rnacentral:rRNA from 1 species